GUCCUAUAUAGAUGUAUCAACGCAAGACAGUUGAGCAUCUCCCUUUAGGAUAUUGUUUUAUCCAGAAGCUUCAGUGACAAUCUUUAUUGUGUGGCUCAAAGUCGAAAUAAGGUGAGUUGAAGUGGAAUAGGUUAUCCGUAAGACCUUGGGUUGAAAAACUCUAAAAUCAACCUAGAAAUGAAAUCCUUAAAAUUUUGUAUAUUCUAGUUACGGAGGG
rnacentral:sRNA from 12 species